AGUAGUUUGAUCAUGGUUCAGAACGAACGCUGGGCGGCAUGCCUAACACAUGCAAGUCGAACGAAGCCUUCGGGCUUAGUGGCGCACGGGUGCGUAACACGUGGGAAUCUGCCCCUUCGGUUCGGAAUAACAGUUAGAAAUGACUGCUAAUACCGGAUGAUGACGAAAGUCCAAAGAUUUAUCGCCGAAGGAUGAGCCCGCGUAGGAUUAGGUAGUUGGUAGGGUAAUGGCCUACCAAGCCGACGAUCCUUAGCUGGUCUGAGAGGAUGAUCAGCCACACUGGGACUGAGACACGGCCCAGACUCCUACGGGAGGCAGCAGUGGGGAAUAUUGGACAAUGGGCGAAAGCCUGAUCCAGCAAUGCCGCGUGAGUGAUGAAGGCCUUAGGGUUGUAAAGCUCUUUUACCAGGGAUGAUAAUGACAGUACCUGGAGAAUAAGCUCCGGCUAACUCCGUG
rnacentral:rRNA from 1 species